rnacentral:ncRNA from 1 species
CCUCGGGGUGCCGCGCAUAUGCGGCUGAGAUGCACUUCUGCGAACCCGUUGAACCUGAACCGGUUAAGACCGGCGGAGGGAAGGUUU